rnacentral:lncRNA from 10 species
GUAGGAACUUCGCGUUCCCACCCUCCAGGGGAGGAGAUUGGAUCAGGCGCCAGCCUUGAGGUGUCUGAUUGGAGAAAAGCUGUGCAGUGCCGCUCCCCCGACCGACUCCUUGAGAAGAAACGGCGGAGACCUGAGACCCGGAGGCUGAGGCUGUAGGUGGGCUCCGCUGGGUAAAAGUUGCCGCAGCAGCUGUCCCUUGGCCCCAUCGCGAUUUAUUUUUCCCCCUUGCUUUCCGGGUCCCGGGAUCCCAAGUUUGUAACUAACGGGAGCGAAUCCACACCCGAGCAAAAUGUUUGCGAGUUUCAGGCGCCCUUAGUUGAAAGGCUGUAAUUAACAAGUCCGCUGUUUGCCAGCCAGGCGCCGUUGCAGGCGCUUUCUGUGGAUUGUCAUUUAUUUCUCACAGCAACCCUAGGAGAUGAAAUUGAAUCAUGGAAGAAUGCCUUUAUCUGAGGAGUCAUCACCACUAGGGAGCUAUGGAGGCUGUUAUCCUUGACAUCUGCAGCAGCCCUUCCAAGCUGUGGAGACCAGGUCAUCUGGAAUGCCCAUUUAUGUCAAUGGAAGAAAGAAAAAGGGGUCUCCUCCCAUCCUCACCACUGCAUUCUCCCACCAACCCUGCUCCUGUCCCACUUCCCACAACUCAGUUGUUGACAAUUUAACAGUGGGUUUCUGGAAACAGUGCUGCCUCCUUGAUGGUCUAACUAACUACCAGAGUUAUUCUAACAGCAGGAAUUUCAAGCCAGGUUUGUAAAACAAGAAUGAAAAACGUUGACAGUUAUUCUGCAGAUUCGCUUUUCACCAAUACAGAAAUGUGGCAAAAAUACAAUUUGAUAUUAACAGAUGAAUUCAGAGGGCUUGGCCAGGAAGAAAAGAGGCAAACCAGACAUACAUAGGAGGCACAGCAAAAGACCCAAGGUGAGGGGCUUCCCUCACCUUCACCCUUGUUCUCACGUGGAGGUGGCGCAUGUCUAUGAGACACAGUACCCCACUCAGCGAUCCUCUGCAGUCCAGGAAAUUCUAGCACUUGCUUGGAAAACAAAUCAAGUGCCUGUUGGCUUUUUGUGAGCUGCCUAUGGAGAAAUGCACAUGGCAAGGAACUGAGGGUUGCCUCCAGCAAACUGCUGGUGAGGGAGUGAGGCCUUCAGUCCAACAGCCUUUAAGGAACUGAAUCCUGCCAACAACCAUGUGAGUGGGCUUGGAGAUGGAUGCUACCACCAUCAAGCCUUCAGGAGUGAAUUUUUUUGUUCUUGAGACAGCGUCUCAUUCUGUUGCCCAGGAUGGAGUACAGUGGUGCCAUCUUCGCUCACUGCAGCCUUCGUCUCCCGGGUUCAAGCAAUUCUCCUGUCUCAGCCUCCCAAGUAGCUGGGAUUACAGACCCAUCAAGCCUUCAGAUAAGACUGCAGCCUCAUUACAGACCUUGAACUGGAGGCAGCCAGCUGAGUCACACCUGGAUUCCUGACCCUUAGAAACUAUGAGAUAAUAAAUGUUUACAGUUUUAAGCCACUAAGUUUCG